rnacentral:rRNA from 1 species
AGAGUUUGAUUCUGGCUCAGGAUGAACGCUGGCGGCGUGCCUAACACAUGCAAGUCGAGCGGAUUCUCUUCGGGAGAAGAGCGGCGGACGGGUGAGUAACGCGUGGGGUAACCUGCCUCAGUACACAUGGAUAACAUACCGAAAGGUAUGCUAAUACAAGAUAAGUAUAAGAAAUUCACAUGGAUUUCUUAUCAAAGCUCCGGCGGUAUGAGAUGGACCCGCGUCUGAGUUAGCUAGUUGGUAAGGUAACGGCUUACCAAGGCGACGAUCAGUAGCCGACCUGAGAGGGUGAUCGGCCACAUUGGAACUGAGACACGGUCCAAACUCCUACGGGAGGCAGCAGUGGGGAAUAUUGGCACAAUGGGCGAAAGCCUGAUGCCAGCAACGCCGCGUGAGUGAUGAAGGUCCUUCGGGUCGUAAAACUCUCGUCCUCAAGGAAGGAUAAUGACGGUACUUGAGGAGGAAGCCCCGGCUAACUACGUGCCAGCAGCGGC